GGUUCUAGCUAAUCUCCUUUGGAGUUUGGAGAAUUAGGCUUUUUGCGGGUUGCAAGUCUUUGUGACACAGAAUCAUAUUAGGUCAGUGCCCUUUCAUUUUGGAUGACGUGUUUUUCCCUGCUGCCCAUGGGGGAAGAGGUUACUUAAUUGUGUGUGGGUGAGGCUGCUGCCCAUGGGGCCAAGAGACUGCACAUCAGGGAGGACAAUAUUAUGCCAGUUGUGAAUGGGUGGAUCCCUUGACUGGUCUAUGUAAUAGUGUGGUGUAUUUGUGAUAAAUUACCUUAUGUAAGAUUUUUAUGGCUUUGGAAUUAUAUUCUUAGUACUCACAGAUUAUAGUAUUUAUUUUGAGAAACUUUGUGUUUAAUUACUUAAUCAUUCUUAUCAUAUAAUUAUUGAAAA